UGUUGUCGUCAUCAUUGCGCUUUCUGUCUCUAGCUAUUCCUCUCUCUCUUUCUCUGCCUUCCCACUUUUGCCUACUUUGCUGCGGCAGUAAACAUACCGAAAAUGCUUUUUGAAUUGUAAUUUUUUUUUUCUAUUUCUUUCUUUUUUGUGUAAACAAUUUUCCUUUUUUUUUCGCUUUCCACUCAGCUGCUGUUGCUGACGUUUGUCGCUUUUGUAGCGCCCAUCCCCGAACCCAGCUCGUUGGCUCUGAUAAGCGUGAUUGAAUUGAUUUUUCUAUUUCUCAAUAUAUACUCAGAUAUACAUAUAUAUAUGUAUAUAUAUAUAUAUAUUUUUUUUUUUUUUUUUUUUUGUUUUUGCUUUAGCUGGGGGACUUUAUAGGUAGCUUAGCUGGCGACUAGAAAUGUUGCGCGUUUU